UACGUAGGGUGCGAGCGUUAAUCGGAAUUACUGGGCGUAAAGCGUGACGCAGGCGGUUAUGUAAGACAGAUGUGAAAUCCCCGGGCUCAACCUGGGACUGCAUUUGUGACUGCAUAGCUAGAGUACGGUAGAGGGGGAUGGAAUUCCGCGUGUAGCAGUGAAAUGCGUAGAUAUGCGGAGGAACACCGAUGGCGAAGGCAAUCCCCUGGACCUGUACUGACGCUCAUGCACGAAAGCGUGGGGAGCAAACAGGAUUAG
rnacentral:rRNA from 1 species